rnacentral:rRNA from 1 species
UGCAGUCGAGCGGAGAGAGGUAGCUUGCUACUGAUCUUAGCGGCGGACGGGUGAGUAAUGCUUAGGAAUCUGCCUAUUAGUGGGGGACAACAUUUCGAAAGGAAUGCUAAUACCGCAUACGUCCUACGGGAGAAAGCAGGGGAUCUUCGGACCUUGCGCUAAUAGAUGAGCCUAAGUCGGAUUAGCUAGUUGGUGGGGUAAAGGCCUACCAAGGCGACGAUCUGUAGCGGGUCUGAGAGGAUGAUCCGCCACACUGGGACUGAGACACGGCCCAGACUCCUACGGGAGGCAGCAGUGGGGAAUAUUGGACAAUGGGCGCAAGCCUGAUCCAGCCAUGCCGCGUGUGUGAAGAAGGCCUUAUGGUUGUAAAGCACUUUAAGCGAGGAGGAGGCUACUUUAGUUAAUACCUAGAGAUAGUGGACGUUACUCGCAGAAUAAGCACCGGCUAACUCUGUGCCAGCAGCCGCGGUAAUACAGAGGGUGCAAGCGUUAAUCGGAUUUACUGGGCGUAAAGCGCGCGUAGGCGGCUAAUUAAGUCAAAUGUGAAAUCCCCGAGCUUAACUUGGGAAUUGCAUUCGAUACUGGUUAGCUAGAGUGUGGGAGAGGAUGGUAGAAUUCCAGGUGUAGCGGUGAAAUGCGUAGAGAUCUGGAGGAAUACCGAUGGCGAAAGCAGCCAUCUGGCCUAACACUGACGCUGAGGUGCGAAAGCAUGGGGAGCAAACAGGAUUAGAUACCCUGGUAGUCCAUGCCGUAAACGAUGUCUACUAGCCGUUGGGGCCUUUGAGCUUUAGUGGCGCAGCUAACGCGAUAGUAGACCGCCUGGGGAGUACGUCGCAAGACUAAAACUCAAAUGAAUUUGACGGGGGCCCGCACAAGCGGUGG